AUUUUGGUAGGUUUCCGCGGGCGGAAAUUAGUUCGCCUGGCAUGUUGAUAUCAAUGGAAAGUCGUGUUUGUUUCUUAGGUGACCAAGUCCGUACAAAUUCUGGAAGCUUCCGUCUGGCGCGAAGUAGCCCGCCUGGCGGAUUGAUACAUGUGGAGAGUUGUGUUCGUUCUUUAGAUGAGCAAGACCAGGACGCCGUAUUUUAAUUGAAGACGCAGUAUUAAUCUAUCCAAGUUUUUGUGAAAAUAUAAGGCGGCUGGGCGGCACUUUUUGAUGGAUUGUUAAUGUUUUUCAACUUUACAAUAGACGGUCGCUAUGGUGAGCUGAGUCACACCGAGGAUGUUUGUCUUACGAGCUGAUGAGGAAGUUCGAUGAAGAACCGAGACAAUAAAUGUCCAGAGACAAGAACAGCUGCCACAGACUGUGGGAGUUUUUCUGUGUCUGGACAUGAGAGGAUGACGAGGGAAUGUGAUCAAGAGCUGAGACCAUGAGAUAUACAGAAACCUGGAAGGUGUUCACUCGGAUGCUGUGCUGGGAUGUCUGAAGACUUUGCCUUAGUUCCGGUUGCAGGUAAGGAUUCAAGAUUAUCUGCAUCAUCCACAGUUGUGCACAACAGUCUUCAGAUGCAAAAUUUGCAGCUGUAGCUGUAUCUGAUGUAAUGAGGCAGAGUGGGAUAGAUAUUGUAGGAGUUUUCUAAUCCUGGAGCCUGCCUAAAUUGUUGCAUCAUGGCACCUCUGUUACAAAGAGCUAUCAGUUAAUGUCUUUUUAUUGUGAGAAGAAUGUGAAGCAAAUACUCUACAGGGAAAGUGCAAGAGACAUUAGAUAAUCCAUUAGGAGGUACAAAUACAAGUAGUAACCACUGCAUUGUAAAGAGUUUAACAUACAUUCUGUGACACAAUGCAGUUAAUUUUUGAAGUAAAAAAGUGAGCCCUCCAGUUCCAUGAGAGAGUUGUCAUGGUACAGUAAAAUUGUGUUAUCAAUGCAUACAGAAGACAACAUAUGUUUAAGGGAGCAGUGAAUUAGGUACUUUUACUCAUAACUUUUAACCAGUUGAGUAAUUUGUAAAUUUGAAAGAAAGAAGAGACAUUAUUAGCUUGAAUGUAUCAUUACACCUUCCAAGGUAGGAACAUGAAGGGAAUUAUGUACUUAAGCUUGUUUCUUUAUAUCACAGGUAAUAGAGUGUAUAGAAUUUGCAUAUGUCCUUUUCAUUUUUCUUUAUGUGUGCUGGUGAAGAUCACAAUCUUCCAGGAUGUGAUUCCAUGUAGUUUGCAAUGAAAGGACCAACAUUUCAGAUGAACCUGGUGUGUCUAUUUUCUCUUUGUACACUUAAGAUGUAGGCAACAGGUGUAUACCAGACAACUUGGUGUCACAUUCCACAAGACUAAUUUUUAUAUUCACAGCAAUGAGAGCCUCAAAUUCUCAAUAUUUUUUGAGAGCAUAUUACAGUGUAACAUGUUCUGUCUACUGAAGACUUUGUUCAGAUUGUUAAUCGGUUUUAUUAACAACCCAUAAGUCUUAAUUACAAUUAAUUAUAAUACUGUUGUGGGUUUACACAAUUUACAAACCCUAAACACUAACCUCU